UACAGAGGUCUCAAGCGUUGUUCGGAUUCAUUGGGCGUAAAGGGUGCGUAGGCGGCGCGGUAAGUCGGGUGUGAAAUCUCGGAGCUUAACUCCGAAACUGCAUUCGAUACUGCCGUGCUUGAGGACUGGAGAGGAGACUGGAAUUUACGGUGUAGCGGUGAAAUGCGUAGAUAUCGUAAGGAAGACCAGUGGCGAAGGCGGCUAUCUGGACAGAGUCUGACGCUGAGGCGCGAAAGCUAGGGGAGCAAACAGG
rnacentral:rRNA from 1 species